AGGCAGCAGUGGGGAAUAUUGGACAAUGGGGGCAACCCUGAUCCAGCCAUGCCGCGUGUGUGAAGAAGGCUUUCGGGUUGUAAAGCACUUUCAGCGAGGAGGAAGGCUCUAAAGCUAAUACCUUUAGGGAUUGACGUUACUCGCAGAAGAAGCACCGGCUAACUCCGUGCCAGCAGCCGCGGUAAUACGGAGGGUGCAAGCGUUAAUCGGAAUUACUGGGCGUAAAGCGCGCGUAGGUGGUUGAGUAAGCGAGAUGUGAAAGCCCCGGGCUUAACCUGGGAACGGCAUUUCGAACUGCUCGGCUAGAGUGUGGUAGAGGGUAGUGGAAUUUCCU
rnacentral:rRNA from 1 species